rnacentral:rRNA from 1 species
AUACGUAGGUGGCGAGCGUUGUCCGGAAUUACUGGGCGUAAAGGGUGCGUAGGCGGACCAUCAAGUCAGAUGUGAAAGUCCAUGGCUUAACUGUGGGAGUGCAUUUGAGACUGAUGAUCUAGAGUGCAGGAGAGGGAAGCGGAAUUCCUAGUGUAGCGGUGAAAUGCGUAGAUAUUAGGAAGAACACCAGUGGCGAAGGCGGCUUUCUGGACUGUAACUGACGCUGAAGCACGAAAGCGUGGGGAGCAAACAGGAUUAGAUACCCUGGUAGUCCACGCUGUAAACGAUGAGUGUUAGGUGUAGGGGACGAUAGUCUUCUGUGCCGGAGCAAACGCAAUAAAUACUCCGCCUGGGGAGUACGGUCACAAGACUAAA